rnacentral:lncRNA from 10 species
CUACCUGAAGCUUCACCCCAAGAGAUGAGGGCCAGCUCCACUCUUCCCAGUCACCGCCUGUGGGGGAGGGAGGCUGGACAGGGCAUGAAGGCAGAGCCUGGUGGUCUGCCCCUCCCAUCUAGGGGUGGCGCACAGAAAGGGAGACUCCAGGCCACAGCUCACUUACACCCCAGAAUAACCUUGCCUUGAGGGUGGGAUGGCUUGUCUGCCCCAGGCCUGUUGGACAUUUAGCAAAAGAGAAGAAAGGGGAAUACAAACAAUCCUGAGCUUCCCAGAAAGCUUUCACACCUCCAGGAUGGGAGAGAAUGAACUAGAAGAGUGAAGCUUCCAGUGCUUCCUCAGGUCCACAGGGAAAUCUGGACAGGGGAGAGGGUAGGAAUAGCCGCCUCCCCCGUGAGUAAUGACACCUCCUCCAGCAGGCUGUUAUGGGGAUCCGAUUACAUAAUGCUACAAAACAGUUAACACAGUGUCUGGCAUUUAGUGUAUGCUCACAAAAUACUAGCUAUUGAUUCUUUACCAAUCCUAGUCCUAACUAACCUUAACCCUGACCAAUCCAACACCAACCAUCCUUCAGUCUAAUAACCCAGACUAACUAACUUCAACAUUAACCCUAAAACUAACCAAUCUCACCUCCAAUCCAGACCCCAGCCUAUUCCAGCUGACUGGUCAACCCUAGCAAACCCUGGUAACACCAAUUACCUGCCCCCAUGCCCACUGGUCUGCCCCCUUCAGUGUGGGCUUUGUGGGACUAUACUUCAG